rnacentral:rRNA from 1 species
UACCUGCAGCUCGAGUGGUAACCGCUAUUAUUGGGCCUAAAGCGUCCGUAGCCGGUUUGGUAAAUACCUGGGUAAAUCGUGAGGCUUAACUUCACGAAUUUCGGAUAGACUGCCAGACUUGGGAUCGGGGGAGGUCAGAGGUACUCCAGGGGUAGCGGUGAAAUGUUGUAAUCCUUGGAGGACCACCGGUAGCGAAGGCGUCUGACUAGAACGAGUCCGACGGUGAGGGACGAAGCCCUGGGGCGCAAACCGGAUUAGAUACCCGGGUAGUCCAGGGUGUAAACAAUGUGGGCUUUGUAUUGGAGAUCCCACGUGGGUGUCCAGUGCAGAAGAGAAGUUGUUAAGCCCACCGCCUGGGAAGUACGGUCGCAAGGCUGAAACUUAAAGGAAUUGGCGGGGGAGCACAGCAACGGGAGGAGCGUGCGGUUU